CCACACGGGGACGGAGACGGGGCCCGGACGCCUACGGGAGGCAGCAGUGGGGAAUAUUGGACAAUGGGGGAAACCCUGAUCCAGCCAUGCCGCGUGUGUGAAGAAGGCCUUUUGGUUGUAAAGCACUUUAAGCAGUGAAGAAGACUCCAUGGUUAAUACCCAUGGACGAUGACAUUAGCUGCAGAAUAAGCACCGGCUAA
rnacentral:rRNA from 1 species